rnacentral:rRNA from 1 species
CACGGGGGGAGCGAGCGUUUUUCGGAAUUACUGGGCGUAAAGGGCGUGUAGGCGGCACGGUAAGUGAGAUGUGAAAGCCCCCGGCUUACCCGGGGAACGGCAUCUCAUACUGCCGCGCUUGAGUGCGGAAGAGGAUGGGGGAAUUCCUGGUGUAGCGGUGAAAUGCGUAGAUAUCAGGAGGAACACCGGUGGCGAAGGCGCCCAUCUGGUCCGUUACUGACGCUGAGGCGCGAAAGCUAGGGGAGCGAACGGG